GAGAGAGACAUGCGCGCAUAUCAAUAAGCGGAGGAAAAGAAACUAGCAAGGAUUCCCUUAGUAACGGCGAGUGAAGCGGGAAGAGCUCAAAUUUGAAAUCUUCAAGGUUUUACCUUGACGAAUUGUAGUUUAAAGAAGUGUUUUCUGCUGAAGUUUUGGUAAAAGUUCUUUGGAAUAGGACAUCAUAGAGGGUGAGAAUCCCGUAUUUGACCAUUAUUUUCAGCUUUGUGAUACACUUUCUAAGAGUCGGAUUGUUUGGGAAUGCAGUCCAAAAUGGGUGGUAAAUUUCAAUCUAAAGCUAAAUAUUGGCGAGAGACCGAUAGCGAACAAGUACCGUGAGGGAAAGAUGAAAAGAACUUUGAAAAGAGAGUUAAACAGUACGUGAAAUUGUCAAAAGGGAAGCGUUUGACACCAGUGUUGUUUUCUCGAAAAUCAAUUAAAAAUGGCUCGAUUUUGUAUUGCUUGAGACCUUAAAAGCUCACUGUACAUUUUUCGUGUCUUUUUUAAUGCACUUUUCGUUUAACAAGUCAACAUCAGUUUCUUUUGUUGUAAAAGGGUCAUUGGAAGGUGGCUUUCUUUUCGGAGAAAGUGUUUAUAGCCUUUGGCCUCUGCAAUCGAAGAGACUGAGGUCUGCAGCGUAGACUCUUCGGGGUUAGAUACAUUUGUGCUAAGUUAUAGCUUUUUAUAGACAACUUGUUGACUAUAAUUAGUCUUGUAGCUUACUCGCUUAUGCUAUUUUACCUACGCUUAGGAUGUUGAAGUCAUCGUAUCGCGC
rnacentral:rRNA from 1 species